rnacentral:rRNA from 1 species
UAGUUUUUUUAGAAAUAAAUUUAAUUUACAAAUUUUUAAUUUUUAAUUUAUUUUUUAAAUUUAAAAAUUUAUUAAUUUGAAUAUUUUAAGGGAUAAGCUUUAAAAUAAAAUAUUAAAAAUUAUUGAAUAAUAGAUUUAAAAUGUAUGCAUAGAAUUAGCAAUCAUUUAUAAGUUUUUUAUAAAUUAUUUUAUGAUUUAUAUUAUUUAGUUUUGUUUUCAUUGAAUUUAUAAAAAUUUUUUUAUUAAUUUAAAAUAAAAAGUAAUAAUGAUUAAAUUAGUAUAUUUAAAAUAUUGUUUAAAUAUUUUAUAUUGAGAAGUUUAUAUAAAGAACUCGGCAAAUUUAUUUAUACUCGCCUGUUUAACAAAAACAUGUCUUUUUGAAUUAUAUUUAAAGUCUGACCUGCCCACUGAAUAAUUUUAAAUGGCCGCAGCAUUUUGACUGUGCAAAGGUAGCAUAAUCAUUAGUCUUUUAAUUGAAGGCUGGUAUGAACGGUUGGACGAAGUAUAAGCGUGUUUCAUAUAAAUUUAUAAUAGAAUUUUAUAUUUUAGUUAAAAAGCUAAAAUUUUAUUAAAAGACGAGAAGACCCUAUAAAUCUUUAUAAUUUAUAUUAACUAAAUUUUUUUGAUUUAUUUUAUUUUUUUAAUAUAAAUUAUUUUGUUGGGGUGAUGUUAAAAUUUAAUGAACUUUUAAUUUUUUAAAAUCAUUAAUUUAUGAGUUAUUGAUCCAUUAAUAGUGAUUAUAAGAUUAAGUUACUUUAGGGAUAACAGCGUAAUUUUUUUUGAGAGUUCAUAUCGACAAAAAAGUUUGCGACCUCGAUGUUGGAUUAAGGUAUAAUUUUGGGUGUAGCCGUUCAAAAAUUAAGUCUGUUCGACUUUUA